GGUCCUCACUAAGGCAGCUCUGUUGAGAGUUGCCAUGGUGGGGGGGGUUGACCCUGCGGGGGUCCCCAGGCCGUCAACUUCCGGUGCCAGACGUUGGUACGUCAGGGUCGAGCACAAUGCGCUGCCGCCCGCUGCCGAUAUUCUGGGGACGA
rnacentral:sRNA from 12 species